UAGCUAGUUAGCAGGCUGAGGUCUCGUUCAUUAAAUUAACCAGACAAAUCGCUCCACCAACUAAGAACGGCCAUGCACCACCACCCAUAGAAUCAAGAAAGAGCUCUCAGUCUGUCAAUCCUUGCUAUGUCUGGACCUGGUAAGUUUCCCCGUGUUGAUCAAAUUAAGCCACAGGCUCCACGCCUGGUGGUGCCCUUCCGUCAAUUCCUUUAAGUUUCAUCCUUGCGACCAUACUCCCCACGGAACCCAAAGACUUUGAUUUGUCAUAAGGUGCCGGCGGAGUCCUAUAAGCAACAUCCACCGAUCCCUGGUCGACAUCGUUUAUGGUUGAGACUAGGACGGUAUCUGAUCGUCUUCGAGCCCC